rnacentral:tRNA from 1 species
AGUAAUAUGCCUGAUAAAAGGAUUAUUUUGAUAGAAUAAAUAUGUAUGUAUUAAAUAUACUAUUACUA